rnacentral:pre_miRNA from 1 species
GCCGGGAAGUGGAAGAAAAGAGGGCAUAAGAGCAAUAUGAGUGGGAACAUGGAGGAAAAGCCUAACUUGCUUUGUUUUCAACUAUAGUGUUGGAGGUGAGAAACUGCUUUGGUUUUCCGAUGCCUCCCAUUCCUAUUGUUCUCAAGCACUCCUUCCUAUUCCUUUUUUGG